AGGCAUUUUUGCCGUACGAAAGUGUUAUCAAAGACGUGUCAUUACUAUAAUAUGCUUGAACAAGAUGAUUCCUGUACAAAAGAGUUGGCAUCGGAGAUUUUGGAUAUUGAGGAUCUUGUUCGACUUGGGAAGAAAGAAAGUCGCUGUCCUUAUUUCAUCUGUGAAAAAUUCCAUUUGUGAAAAAUGCUGACAUUGUAUUCAUGCCGUACAAUUAUUUAAUCGAUACAAAGUCAUGACAAUCAAACGACAUUGAUAUUUCAAAGAGUAUUAUCAUCUUCGACGAAGCACACAAUAUUGAAUAUCAAUUCUAAUGAUUCUCGGAUCUCCUAUAAGGAGGAAUCAGUAUUUUCGUUUGAAGAAGAAACGUUUGAGAGAUCUCUGAGUGCUGGUAGUGUCCAGUGUUCAUUUGAUUACGUAAACGCGUCU
rnacentral:lncRNA from 1 species